GACGAACGCUGGCGGCGUGCCUAAUACAUGCAAGUCGAACGCAGUGGGGACGGGUGAGUAACACGUGGGUAACCUCCCAUCAGAGGGGAUAACACUUGGAAACAGGUGCUAAACCGAUACUGAUGGAUGGACCCGCGGGGCAUUAGCUAGUGGGUGAGGUAACGGCUCACCAAGGCCACGUUGCAUAGCCGACUGGAGAGGGGGAUUGGCAACACUGGGACGGGGAAACGGCCCAGAAUCCUACGGUAGGCAGCAGUAGGGAAUUUUCGGCAAUGGGCGAAAGUCUGACCGAGCAACGCCGCGUGAGUGAAGAAGGUUUUCGGAUCGUAAAACUCUGUUGUUAGAGAAGCGGUAUCUAACCAGAAAGCCACGGCUAACUACGUGCCAGCAGCCGCGGUAAUAC
rnacentral:rRNA from 1 species